rnacentral:rRNA from 1 species
GACGAACCGUGCGAACGUUGUUCGGAAUCACUGGGCUUAAAGGGCGCGUAGGCGGGUCCGUAAGUUUGUGGUGAAAGCCCCCGGCUCAACCGGGGAAGUGCCGCGGAUACUGCGGAUCUCGAGGGGGGGUAGGGGCAUGUGGAACUUCCGGUGGAGCGGUGAAAUGCGUUGAUAUCCAUAGGAACUCCGGUGGCGAAAGCGGUGUGCUGGAUCCCUUCUGACGCUGAGGCGCGAAAGCCAGGGGAGCGAACGGG